rnacentral:lncRNA from 1 species
AAUAAUUGUCAAAAAUCACGUUUGCAUCAAUUAUUGUCCAUUAAGUCCACGUUUACAAGAGUUGAUUCUAUUCAACGUUUUCUUGUUUAACUUUUUCUUUGGUCUUGUUUUCUGAAUGUUUCUAUUGAUAAAUUUUGACUUUUCCUUCUUUUCUAUCAUCUUUUGAUUCAUUUAUUGUUUUUUCUUAGUUUGAUCAUUUCUUGAUAUUAAGUGUUCCUCCUUCCAUCUCUUUCAUCUCGACCUGCACCUCCAAAUUAUAAUUUAAUUCCUACUGUACCCUUAACCCCUAUAAAGCUGACCUAUUCAUUGUUUUUAUAAAAAAUUACCUAACUUUGCCGCAACUCACACCCACAAACCCUACACUCCCUUUUUUUCAUUCUACCCUUUACCUUCUUGCUCUCAUCCGCUCCAACACCAAGUUUUUGAAGCGGAGCUGCUGCUAUCUGUGUUUAGCGUUCGUGUGUAGCUGAGUACCACUUCUUUUCGUGUUUGAAGUCUUUCUGGCGUCCAGGUUAGUAUUUUUCCUUUUUUUUUUCCAUUCGUAGAUCUGGUUAUGUGGUUGAUGUUGUGAGUUUAAGAAUCAU